AAGACUAUACUUGCAGGGUUCAUUUCUAUAGUAUCUAAUUAGAGAAAUUGAUUGCACUCAAAAGUGAUCACCUGAGAGUACAAUGGCUCAGC